rnacentral:rRNA from 1 species
GGGCGAAGCCUGAUGGAGCACGCCGCGUGUGUGAUGAAGGGUUUCGGCUCGUAAAACACUGUUGUAAGAGAAGAAUGACAUUGAGAGUAACUGUUCAAUGUGUGACGGUAUCUUACCAGAAAGGAACGGCUAAAUACGUGCCAGCAGCCGCGGUAAUACGUAUGUUCCAAGCGUUAUCCGGAUUUAUUGGGCGUAAAGCGAGCGCAGACGGUUAUUUAAGUCUGAAGUGAAAGCCCUCAGCUCAACUGAGGAAUUGCUUUGGAAACUGGAUGACUUGAGUGCAGUAGAGGAAAGUGGAACUCCAUGUGUAGCGGUGAAAUGCGUAGAUAUAUGGAAGAACACCAGUGGCGAAGGCGGCUUUCUGGACUGUAACUGACGUUGAGGCUCGAAAGUGUGGGUAGCAAACAGGAUUAAUACCCUGGUAGUCCCACCGUAAACGAUGAGUGCUAGGUGUUUGAGGGUUUCCGCCCUUAAGUGCCGCAGCUAACGCAUUAAGCACUCCGCCUGGGGAGUACGACCGCAAGGUUGAA